UAUAUCAUAGCUUCUUCUGUUAACUCUUCUUCCUCGAAUUUGAAAACAUUAUUUUAUGUUUUCGAAGAACACAAUUCCGAAAUCCAAAUCCCUUUGCGAUUUUAUGAAAAUCUAUCAACGAUUUGAAGAUUCUAUUGAGGGAGUAGCUAUUAAUUCAUUUUGUGUCUGUUUCGUUUAUGGUUGUAUCAGUAUAAGCAUAGAAAAUUCAACGGCGUUAUCCAAUUGAUCUUCUUUUUUUAUUAAAUCCUUAUGCACUAAUAUAUCUCUGUCCUCAAUUGCAGCUUGGAUCCAUCACCUGAGAAUCUUACAGUGAUUCAAUUGUAAAUUCAGACAUGGACAGAAUUUGGGUAACGAAGAUAUGUUCUGAGUUUCUACAACCAUUUUCUCCCCAUUCUGAACGACAAAUAAUCAGAAUAUCUCUGUCAUGGAGAAUCAGACGAUCAGAAUGGAUGACAUUAUGGAGAAAGCAAGAAAGAUAUUUCCCAUUCAGCUCAACUGGUGAUCAAAGUUCCACAGAGAUCUUCUGGGUGUCCUUACCAUUGACGGACACAACUUCAAUGUGGGACACUUCAACAACUUGGCCGACAACAUCUAGAACAAUUUCAGAUUCAAAAAAAUAUAUAGAUUAGUAACUAAAUAGAAUUAUAAAAGAUUUCAAAGAAGACAGUUGUUGAAUAUCAUUAUAGUACAUAACAUCACUUACCAACUAAGAAGUCUGGAUCGAGCUUCCCAUUGAGUACAGCACGGUAAUUAACCGGCUCCAAUCCAGUCAUGUUGUAAGGCAACGCCUCACAUAUCCUGACACGGGUUGUAGGAAGGAAAACCACCUUGUAUGGAUGUUUGGUUGUCCGAUAAGAACCACUUGAAUGGGUGACCGUAAAAUUAAUUAGGAGUUUCGUUUGUCCCUGGUGCAGCACAUGGGCGAACUGGCCCACUUCAUCCUUCUUCACGGUCCCAUGAAUCUUAUCACCCUAGAGUUAAAAAUGAACAUAGAAUAGUAAGAAACCAAGAUCUAUACAACAAUUAACAUAAGUUUUUAGCAAUGUAAAACCCGUAUAGGGACUUACUCUAGAAUCCACGAAAACCAUUUCAAUAGUCUCGCCCCCGGCAGCUGAAUAUUGCUUCCAUAGCCGAAUGAUUUUAACCUUAACCUUCCACAUUGACUUGAAAGGUUUCAACUCAGAAAUGUUGUUCAUCGCAGCCAUUUUUUUUUUGUGUUUUGCUCUAUAGAAAUGUUUAUUUGAUUGUAGAAAUGACGUACAUCCUCCUUACUGUUAUAUAAGAGGAAAUCACAGAAUUAACGUGACUUGAUGCGUACUCUAAGGCAAUAAAUGGAAUAGAAAUAGAUUGUCAAUCACUUUGAAAUCAGAGCAUAAUAUAUUCUAUGUUUACCAUAGAAGGUCACUGAUUCACAUAUUCUCUAUAAAUGUGGUAUAAACUUGCGGAAUCAUCAUAAUAAUUUACCAUAUCUACGGGAUUCCAAUUGGUUUUAUUUACCUAAUUUAGGCAAUACUUAUAGAUACUAACCUAAAAUAAAAAAGUCCACAUCGUACAUAUUAAACGGACGUACUUAGCAAAGUUUUUAGGCUAGAUACAUUGCACAAUAAAAU